CUAUGCGCCUUGCCAGCCCGCUCAGGUGUGCCAGCCGCCGCGGUAAUACGUAGGGAGCAAGCGUUGUCCGGAAUUACUGGGCGUAAAGGGCGCGUAGGUGGGCGCUUAAGUCAGGUGUGAAAACUCCGGGCUCAACCUGGAGACUGCACUUGAAACUGGGUGUCUUGAGGGCAGGAGAGGAAAGUGGAAUUCCUAGUGUAGCGGUGAAAUGCGUAGAUAUUAGGAGGAACACCAGUGGCGAAGGCGACUUUCUGGACUGUACCUGACGCUGAGGCGCGAAAGCGUGGGUAGCGAACGGG
rnacentral:rRNA from 1 species